UACGUAGGGGGCUAGCGUUGUCCGGAAUCAUUGGGCGUAAAGCGCGUGUAGGCGGUCCGGUAAGUCCGCUGUGAAAGUCGGGGGCUCAACCCUCGGAUGCCGGUGGAUACUGUCGGGCUUGAGUACGGAAGAGGCGAGUGGAAUUCCUGGUGUAGCGGUGAAAUGCGCAGAUAUCAGGAGGAACACCAGUUGCGAAGGCAGCUCGCUGGGACGUUACUGACGCUGAGACGCGAAAGCCAGGGGAGCAAACGGG
rnacentral:rRNA from 1 species